AUACGAAGGGAGCUAGCGUUGUUCGGAAUUACUGGGCGUAAAGCGCACGUAGGUGGAUCAAUCAGUUGAGGGUGAAAUCCCAGGGCUCAACCCUGGAACUGCCUUCAAUACUGUUGAUCUUGAGUCCGAGAGAGGUGAGUGGAAUUCCUAGUGUAGAGGUGAAAUGCGUAGAUAUUAGGAAGAACACCAGUGGCGAAGGCGGCUCACUGGCUCGGUACUGACGCUGAGGUGCGAAAGCAUGGGGAGCAAACAGGAUUAGAUACACCAGUAGUCC
rnacentral:rRNA from 1 species